rnacentral:rRNA from 1 species
UACGAAGGGGGCUAGCGUUGUUCGGAAUUACUGGGCGUAAAGCGCGCGCAGGCGGUCCUUCAAGUCAGAGGUGAAAGCCCAGAGCUCAACUCUGGAAUGGCCUUUGAGACUAGAGGACUUGGGUACGGGAGAGGUGAGUGGAAUUCCGAGUGUAGCGGUGAAAUUCGUAGAUAUUCGGAAGAACACCAGUGGCGAAGGCGACUUACUGGACACAUAUUGACGCUGAGGUGCGAAAGCGUGGGGAGCAAACAGG